GAGAGGUUUCGAUUCUGGCUCAGGAUGAACGCUAGCUACAGGCUUAACACAUGCAAGUCGAGGGGCAGCAUGGUCUUAGCUUGCUAAGACCGAUGGCGACCGGCGCACGGGUGAGUAACGCGUGGGCAACCUACCUCACGGAAAGGGAUAGCCUCGGGAAACCGGGAGUAAAACCAUAUAAGACCACAGCGUCGCAUGACGCAGGGGUCAAAACUCCGGUGCCGUGAGAUGGGCCCGCGUCCCAUUAGCUAGUUGGCAGGGUAAAGGCCUACCAAGGCGACGAUGGGUAGCCGGUCUGAGAGGGCGAACGGCCACAUUGGAACUGAGACACGGUCCAAACUCCUACGGGAGGCAGCAGUGGGGAAUAUUGCGCAAUGGGGGAAACCCUGACGCCAGCAAUACCGCGUGAGCGAAGAAGGUUUUCGGAUCGUAAAGCUCUGUUAUCGGGGAAGAAGAAGUGACGGUACCCGAUGAGGAAGUCCCGGCUAACUACGUGCCAGCAGCUGC
rnacentral:rRNA from 1 species